rnacentral:rRNA from 1 species
CCUACGGGGGGCAGCAGUGGGGAAUAUUGGGCAAUGGAGGAAACCCUGACCCAGCAACGCCGCGUGAAUGAUGAAGGCCUUCGGAUUGUAAAGUUCUUUUCUACGGGAAGAAGAAAGUGACGGUACCUUAGGUAUAAGCUUCGGCUCACUACGGGCCAGCAGCCGGCGGAAUACGUAGGAGGCGAGCGUUAUCCGGAAUGACUGGGCGUAAAGGGUGCGGUGGUGGUAUGGUAAGGUAGUAGCGAAACUCCAGGGCUCAACCUUGGAACGACUGCUAAAACUGUGGGACUUGAGUGCAGGAGAGGCAUGCGGAAUUCGUGGUGUAGCGGUGGAAUGCAUAGAUAUUAGGAAGAACACC